AACGAUAAUUAGCAACAAAUUGAAAGAUUGGGCCGCAAAGCAAUGGGUCUAAAUCGAGCGAUUUCGAUAUGACAGCCGGGCUGCCGAA
rnacentral:ncRNA from 2 species